UGAAAGUGUGGAGAGGAAGGGAAAGGGAAAGGGAAGGGGAAGGGGAAGGAUAAUUUAUAGAAUUUCAGAACCGUUGGAUUCACGCAAAGUGGUUUAGUGAAGAGAGAGGAGGAAAAGAUUCUUGGCAUGAAAAAAGAGGGAGGAAAAUUUGCUCCAUCGAAGUGGCGGCACGACACUGACAGAGCUCUCCCCGAGGUGGCAGAGCUCAGCUGGCAUGCUGUAGCCUAGCUUGUAGGUGCACAAGCCUGCUGUCGUGCGCGCAGGGGCUAGCCUGCGGGCACACAGGUCCCAAGCACACAUGGCCUAUCUGCACAGGCUUGCAGCGCGAACAGCGUGCGCACAGUGUAGGGCAUCAGUUCAUAUGCGAAGUGACGUACGGACGGCCCGCCUGUACACAACAGGAUGCGCGCAUAGGUCCUGACCUCGUACUAUGCGCGCGGAGGGGACGUG
rnacentral:lncRNA from 1 species